AGAGAGAGAGAGAGAGAGAGAGAGAGAGAGAGAGAGAGAGAGGAUCAUCAUCACCACCACCUAAUCAUGUCAAUUUCUCCAUCAUCUUCAUCUAUAAAGGUGAGUUCUUAUAUAUAAUUAGCUUUGGGAGAUUUUGCAUGAAAGGGGAAAACCAAGGGUUUGUGUGUUAUUGUAUAAACCAUGGAAUUGAUACUCAUCAAUGAUGUUCUUGUUGUCUUUUUGAUUUCUUGUGAUAAGUCAAUGAUGAUUGUGUUGUUGUUCAUACUUGUCCUUGCUUCUAUGUGUUGAUAUUAUGUUGUUGUUGUUGUUGUUGUUGUCUUUGAUUACAUGUUUGCAUAUGUGUUUUGUUCUUGAAGCUAUACCUCACAAUCACUUGGUUAGUGUUUAUAUUUUGGAAUGGUUUAGUAUGGUUUGCUAGAACAAGAUUUGGUUCUGCAUCUAUACCUUGAGUUUUGUUGAUAACAAUGUUGUAUUUGUGUGAGAAUAAUUUUGGUACGCUAAUGGUUUGUUAUUGUGUAGCUUUAACAGUCAGUUCUGAUUCUAAGUACAUGACGUGCAACAUCAUCAGUUUUUGAACAAUGAGUUCCAAAUCCGCUUCUGUGCCAGCUAUUAGAAGUUCUGAAAGAUGUUCAAUAUUACUAUUGCAAUGAUCUUUCUACUUAUGUGCUGAUUCAUUCUUGAGAAGCUUCUGAGGAGACACUAUGUUGUUGCUGCAAUGUUCUCUCAUUUCGUGCUUUUGGACGUGACUCUGAUCACCCAACUUUUGAAGAAUGGCAAGCUUCUGAAGUUAUAUUUCGUAGCUGAAGAUUUUGAAGAUCUCAAGCCAGACGAUUGAGGUUAUCAAGGUUAUGACUAUAGAUUCUGAAGACUCUGAAGAUACCGAAGAUCUCAAACCAGACUACUGACACUGUCAAGGUUCUGACCGGAGAUUCUGAAAUUUCUAAAUCCAACUCUAUGUUUCUUCAUUUCAUGCUUCAUCAACUUUCAUCAGAAGCUAAUGAACUUGAAGAUAAGAUCAAAAGAGAACGUGAUCAAAUAGUACAUAGUACAAAUCAAAUAUCCUUUCCACUACCUGAUUUCGUGGGCAAAUGACAGUACUAUACAUCACACCUGUCACUGAUUUGGGCGAAGGACAGUACGGAAUAUCACUCCUUGCACCAUCCAACAGUAGACAACCGUUCUAUGAGCUUUCCCCAUUUUAUCCUCCAACGGUCUUCUUCUUAUGUUAUAUAAGUAAGACUUGGAGACUUGAACAAAAGUCGUCGGUGUUACAACAUUUUGACAAGUCUAUUUCUUUGUGAAAGUCUAUCAUUCUUUUGUACACAGUUUUUCUUUAAGUGUUUGUUUAUCAUUUGUGUAAAGUCUGCUUGUAUAGAAUCAACUUGUAACACAAAAUAUUAUUCAAACUAUUUGUUUGAUUCCUUAAGGAGGUUAUACUUGAG
rnacentral:lncRNA from 1 species